CAGUAGCCACGGUAAUACAGAGGGUGCAAGCGUUAAUCGGAAUUACUGGGCGUAAAGGGCGCGUAGGUGGUUGCGUAAGUGAGAUGUGAAAUCCCCGGGCUUAACCUGGGACGUGCGUCCUAUACUGCGCAACUGGAGUGCAAUAGAGGGUAGUGGAAUUUCCGGUGUAGCGGUGAAAUGCGUAGAUAUCGGAAGGAACACCAGUGGCGAAGGCGGCUACCUGGAUUGACACUGACACUGAGGCGCGAGAGCGUGGGGAGCAAACAGGAUUAGAGACCCGAGUAGUCCCUGUCUCUUAUAA
rnacentral:rRNA from 1 species